GACGAACGCUGGCGGCGUGCUUAACACAUGCAAGUCGAACGGAAAGGCCCUGCUUUUGUGGGGUGCUCGAGUGGCGAACGGGUGAGUAACACGUGGGUAACCUGCCCUUGACUUUGGGAUAACUUCAGGAAACUGGGGCUAAUACCGGAUAGGAGCUCCUGCUGCAUGGUGGGGGUUGGAAAGUUUCGGCGGUUGGGGAUGGACUCGCGGCUUAUCAGCUUGUUGGUGGGGUAGUGGCUUACCAAGGCUUUGACGGGUAGCCGGCCUGAGAGGGUGACCGGCCACAUCGGGACUGAGAUACGGCCCAGACUCCUACGGGAGGCAGCAGUGGGGAAUAUUGCACAAUGGGCGGAAGCCUGAUGCAGCAACGCCGCGUGCGGGAUGACGGCCUUCGGGUUGUAAACCGCUUUCGCCUGUGACGAAGCGUGAGUGACGGUAAUGGGUAAAGAAGCACCGGCUAACUACGUG
rnacentral:rRNA from 1 species